CACUCCAGUGGCCCUUUUGUUAGAGCGUCCGCCUUGGAUGUGGAAGGUUGCGGGUUCGAAUCCCGACUGGGUCA